rnacentral:sRNA from 1 species
AGGUCGGAUCGACCUAGAAACAUGAACGUGAUCGAUUCCAAUAGUUUAAGCGGGAUGCGGGCGGAAAAUCGCACACACUUUUCCUCAUCCCGCUCUAAGGUCUGUUG